UGGGGGAUAUUGCACAAUGGGCGAAAGCCUGAUGCAGCGACGCCGCGUGGGGGAUGAAGGCUUUCGGGUUGUAAACCUCUUUCGCUAUCGAACAAGGCCCGCUUAGGGUGGGUUGAGGGUAGGUGGAGAAGAAGCGCCGGCUAACUACGUGCCAGCAGCCGCGGUAAUACGUAGGGCGCGAGCGUUGUCCGGAAUUAUUGGGCGUAAAGGGCUUGUAGGCGGCUUGUUGCGCCUGCUGUGAAAACGCGGGGCUUAACUUCGUGCGUGCAGUGGGUACGGGCAGGCUUGAGUGUGGUAGGGGUGACUGGAAUUCCAGGUGUAGGGGUGGAAUUCGCAGAUAUCUGGAGGAACACCGAUGUCGAAGGCAGGUCACUGGGCCAUUACUGACGCUGAGGAGCGAAAGCAUGGGUAGCGAGCAGG
rnacentral:rRNA from 1 species